UGGUGGCGAGUGGCGAACGGGUGANUAAUACAUCGGAACGUGUCCUGUAGUGGGGGAUAGCCCGGCGAAAGCCGGAUUAAUACCGCAUACGCUCUACGGAGGAAAGGGGGGGAUCUUNGGACCUCCCGCUACAGGGGCGGCCGAUGGCAGAUUAGCUAGUUGGUGGGGUAAAGGCCUACCAAGGCGACGAUCUGUAGCUGGUCUGAGAGGACGACCAGCCACACUGGGACUGAGACACGGCCCAGACUCCUACGGGAGGCAGCAGUGGGGAAUUUUGGACAAUGGGGGAAACCCUGAUCCAGCAAUGCCGCGUGUGUGAAGAAGGCCUUCGGGUUGUAAAGCACUUUUGUCCGGAAAGAAAACCUCUGGGUUAAUACCCCGGGGGGAUGACGGUACCGGAAGAAUAAGCACCGGCUAACUACGUGCCAGCAGCCGCGGUAAUACGUAGGGUGCAAGCGUUAAUCGGAAUUACUGGGCGUAAAGCGUGCGCAGGCGGUCCGCUAAGACAGAUGUGAAAUCCCCGGGCUUAACCUGGGAACUGCAUUUGUGACUGGCGGGCUAGAGUAUGGCAGAGGGGGGUAGAAUUCCACGUGUAGCAGUGAAAUGCGUANAGAUGUGGAGGAAUACCGAUGGCGAAGGCAGCCCCCUGGGCCNAUACUGA
rnacentral:rRNA from 1 species